AAUAGAUACCCUGGUAGUCCACGCCCUAAACGAUGUCAACUGGUUGUCGGGGAAGCAAUUCCUUGGUAACGAAGCUAACGCGUGAAGUUGACCGCCUGGGGAGUACGGCCGCAAGGUUAAAACUCAAAGGAAUUGACGGGGACCCGCACAAGCGGUGGAUUAUGUGGAUUAAUUCGAUGCAACGCGAAAAACCUUACCUACCCUUGACAUGUACGGAACCUCGCAGAGAUGUGAGGGUGCCCGAAAGGGAGCCGUAACACAGGUGCUGCAUGGCUGUCGUCAGCUCGUGUCGUGAGAUGUUGGGUUAAGUCCCGCAACGAGCGCAACCCUUGUCAUUAGUUGCUACAUUCAGUUGGGCACUCUAAUGAGACUGCCGGUGACAAACCGGAGGAAGGUGGGGAUGACGUCAAGUCCUCAUGGCCCUUAUGGGUAGGGCUUCACACGUAAUACAAUGGCCGGCACAGAGGGCUGCCAAACCCGGCGAGGGGGAGCUAAUCCCAGAAAGCCGGUCGUAGUCCGGAUUGUUCUCUGCAACUCGAGAGC
rnacentral:rRNA from 1 species